CAAGUCGAACGAGAAAGCGGGGGCAACCCCGUGAGUAAAGUGGCGACCGAUGUGAGUAACACGUGACUAACCUACCCUCUAGUGGGGAAUAACCCCGGGAAACCGGGGCUAAUACCGCAUAAUAUCGGCGCUGUAAUGGUGCCGAUCAAAGGAGCAAUUCGCUGGAGGAGGGGGUCGCGGCUGAUUAGCUAGUUGGUGAGGUAACGGCUCACCAAGGCGGUGAUCAGUAUCCGGCCUGAGAGGGCGCACGGACACACUGGAACUGAAACACGGUCCAGACUCCUACGGGAGGCAGCAGUGGGGAAUUUUGCGCAAUGGGGGAAACCCUGACGCAGCAACGCCGCGUGGAGGAUGAGGUCCCUUGGGACGUAAACUCCUUUCGAACGGGACGAUAAUGACGGUACCGUAUGAAGAAGCCCCGGCUAACUUCGUGCCAGCAGCCCGCGGUAUACGAGGGGGGCA
rnacentral:rRNA from 1 species